UUCUUGUGGUUGAGAYUUACAACGGUGGUUUUUCAGGUCGCAGGUCUUGGAGAGAAGCCAAGCAAGAAC
rnacentral:tRNA from 1 species